ensembl:lncRNA
AAUGACAAUGACAACAGUAAUGACAAUGACAACAGUAAUGACAAAAAUAACAGUAAUGACAAAAAUAAUGACAUAAACUAUUAUAAAGAAUAUGAAAUAAAUAAUAGGUAUAAAUACAAUGGAAAUAGUAAUGAAGCUAAUGAUGAUUGGGAAAAUAACAAAAAUAACAGUAUGCCGAUGUAUAAUACAUUUUUUGGUAAUAAUGAUCCUAGUGUACAUUAUACAGACAAUAGUGAUAAGCAUAGAUUUAUUAGCAGUAUGUGUAAACAAGAAAUAAAAACAGGCACUAGUGCCAAGAGUUUUACUCAUAUUGACUAUUACAACAAAACAAAUGAACAUUGGAAGAAAAAAAAAAAAAAAAAAAGAUAAAGACAGGGACAGAGAUAGAGAUAGAGACAAAAACAGAGACAACGACUUUAACAGUGAAAAUUCUAACUGGUCUAACGAAACAUCAAAUAGUGAUAUUAAUGAUAUAAAUCAAAUAAAUUAUUCAAAUGAUUAUGAAGAAAUAAAAAACUAUUUUAAUGAUGAAAAAAAAUAUAAUUUAUUAAAUGGUCACAUGUCUAGUAUGACAAACGGUGAAGAAAAUAAUUUUCCUCAACACGUUAAUGGUAAUGUAUACUAUGACAAUGAAUAUUAUGGCAAUGAAUAUUAUGGCAAUGAAAUUUAUGGUAAUGAAAUUUAUGGUAAUGAAUAUUAUGAUAGUACAUAUGAUGAAAAAAUUUCAUUUAAUAAUAAAUAUCUUAAUAAUAGUGAAUAUAAUGAUAAAAAACAGUAUAACUGUUGUUAUAGCAAUUAUAAUGGUAGUAUCUUAAAUUAUCCUUAUUCAAUACAAAAACUAAUGACAACUUUACCAUCUUACAACAUAAGCAACGAAAAUAGUAAUGAACUAAAUGGAUAUAUUAGUCCACUUAAAAAUAAUACACAUAAAGAGGUUGAUAAUAAAUAUGUUAUAAAACAGAAUUAUUAUGAUGGAGAUAUUAGUACAAAUAGCACAGACGUAAUUUUAGACCAACAUACUAACAUGAUUAAAUAUUUAUCUUACGAUAAUAAAAAUUAUAAAAAUACUAGUAACUAUAAAUAUAUAAACAAAAAUCAAAACGUCAACAGUGAUAUGAACGGCAACAGUAAUAUUAAUGUUAGUUAUCCAAAAGGGAAAAUGUCAUUAUACUUACAAAAUAAUAUUAAAAAAUCAGAAAAAAUUAAAGAAAAACUUAAAAAAAAAUUUAAAGAAAAACUUAAAGAAAAAUAUAAAGAAAAAUAUAAAGAAAAAUAUAAAAAUCAGAUUGGUAUUAACAACAUUGGUUCUGAUGAAUAUGUUACAUUAGAAAUGGAUUAUAAGCAAAGUACAAAUAUUAUAAAAAAAAUAAUUAAAAAUCAAUGUAAACAGCUCAGUCGUGGUAGUAAUGCAAGUACUAGUAGUAAUAGCAGUAGAACUGAUAGUAACAAUGAUGAAACAUAUAAUUAUACAAAUAGUAUACUAUUACGUAAUAAUAAAAAUAAUAAAAGUGGUAAAAAUAAUGAAAACCAUCAAAAUAAGCUUUUAAAACUGACUAUGCUUAAUUCGAAAAAUUUAGAAAAACAUAUAUUAAGUAAUCGAUUAAUCAUAUAUUCACGAGAUAUGCCCUUAGGAUUUAAUGUUGAUGAAAUAAACCCAAAUAGUAUAAUUUUUAAUAUAAACGACGAAAAUGGGGGGUUUACAAAUAAUAACAAUACCUAUGCUAAUGACUCCUAUAGAAAUGGUAAUUGCAAUAAUACGUAUAGUAAUUCAUAUAGUAACACUUAUAGUAACACAUAUAGUAAUACAUAUGGUAAUAUAUAUGAUAACAUUCAUACAAGCUUAUAUAAUAAUAACACCAACAAUAAAACACAUAACACAUGUAACACAAGUAAUGGUAACAAUAGCAGUUACAAAAAUAACAGUGGCAAAAAUAGCAGUUACAAAAGUAACAUUGUUGGUCAUACUAAUAAUACUAACAAUUACCAUAAUAACAGAAGCAAAAAAAAUAACCUUAACAAUCGCAACAAAGAUAUAAAUAAUAACGAUCUAAGAAAUAAUAAUAAUAAUUAUAUUUAUUUUAAGUAUGUUCAUAAUAUGAAUUCUGAUGAAAUUAAUAAUAAUAAUAAUAAUAAUAAUAAUAAUAAUAAUAAACAAAAUUCAAAUAAAACAAAAAAGGUAGCUUCAUAUCUUUUAUCAUUUGAUUAUAAAAAAAUAAUCGAUGAAGUUGGUCUAUUUAAUAAAACAUUACAACACCAAAUACCAAACAUACAGUAUAAUUUUAAAAAAUACAUUGAUCAGCCUGUUAAUGGAAAUUUAGAUGAAUAUAUAAGUUUGGAUGAUCAUAUAAACUUCGACGAACGUAUAAGUGAAGAUGAGCAUGUAAGUGAAGAUGAGCAUGUAAGUGAUGACGGACAUACAAGUAAUGACGCACAUACAAGUGACACCUUUAAAACAUAUCGUAAAAACGAUGCAUACAAAAAAAGUAAAAAAAUAGAUUUACGAUAUACAAAAUAUACAGAUGAUAAAAACCGAUUACAAAAAAAAUGUAAAUAUAAUUGACAAACAGUAUUAUAAACAAGAAAAUAAAAAUAAACAAAAAAAUAAUUUAUUCA